rnacentral:tRNA from 3 species
GCCGAGGUGGUGGAACUGGUAGACACAAGGGACUUAAAAUCCCUCGGUAGAAAUACUGUACGGGUUCGACUCCCGUCCUCGGUACCA